UGUGGGCCCAAGGGUGCACGGACACCUAACAGUCGCUAGGCAUUUAGUAUACUUUUGAAGGUGAACAAAUAAGGGCCUCGCUGCGGCGAAAAGGAAAACGUCUUACAGCCAGUGUCUUAAGUUUCCAACAACGGAAUGUGUCUGUGAGACACGUGUACUUAAAACAGCCCCGCCAG
rnacentral:lncRNA from 1 species